AUAUAGGCGGGAAGGCAAUGAGGUUGGAAGUGGGAAUGGGAAAUUUCAACACUGGAAUUUUGGCCUCGGUCUUGAUGGCAUAACUCACCCGUACAGUUCAGCAGCGGAGCAACAUGUCACUGAAAAGUAGCAUAAUUUAUACAGUGGAGAGAAUCCUGGUUGGAGGCAUCAUCUGCUGUCUGGUUCCUGGUUGGCCCUGAUCGUUCUGAAGCACCUGGACCCAGAAGUCCUGAUUGAAGUCUUCAAACUGUUUCCAGGUCAAUACAAAAACACAACCUGAUACACUUGACAU
rnacentral:lncRNA from 1 species